AAUCCGUGGAAACCUGCUCCACUGGCCGUCAGCAGAAACUUCCUCCACGACCACAGCGAACACCAAUGAGGAGGGAUAGGGCGAAGAUCUCUGAGAGCAGAGAGAUGAGAAGCUGUCAGAGUUCUCACAGAGUCUCCAGCACCAGCAGACCUUCUUGUUCUCUGAUCAUUAUUCUCCAUUUUGUUGUUCUGUGGAACCUGAAGUGGGACUGAGUCAUGAGUGUCAGAGAACAUCCUGAGUGUGAGGACACCACAGCACCAUCUGUGAAGGCUUUGGGACAUGCGUUAGCUGGCCAAGCUGUUGAUUUGUACUCUGAUCGCCAGACGGAAUUCAAACCGCACAGACGUCACUGAAUUCCCCUCAAGAAAUCUUCCUCAGUUUGAAGGUCUACCUCAAGUGUUGGCGACUCGUCUCCAGGUUGAAAGAGGGAACAUCCCAUGUGCACAUGGCUCGCUCUGAUGAAAAUACAGAGAGGUUUAAAUCUUUUACAAGUGCUCAUAGGUAUGUGUUGGGGCUGUGCUGCACAUCAGUAGCUAAACAGAUGAGAGAACUGAUGCUGCACGCACACACAGGAUUUAGCUGAAAUAAGAAAUGAAUCGACAAUUCGGAGCUGAUGGGAGGAGCAUGUGGACUUCAGUUCAUGACGCCUCAAGCUGCACUGAAGUAAAAAGUAACAUGAACUGCUAUGAUAUGCUUACAGUUUGAUUAACCCCCCACAGUUUCACCAUAUUUACAAAGCAAUAAUUAAAUAAAACUACUUAAGAUAUUGAUCAGUGUGUUAUAUAAUGUCAACACCAGAUUAAUUUAAUAGUAGCUUUCAGAAACAUAUUGUGUUAAUCAUUUUUGUGGAUUUGCAAUUUAUAUAGUAUUACCAGCUGGUUUAGUGCUUGUCUUGCUUGCUGUCAGCUUCAUAACAGACCUGCUUUUUGCAGAUUGUCAACUACAGUUUUAAAUUAGUGUUACUGUAAUAAUUUAAAUUUAGUGAGUCAAGUUUAUUCAUAUACUUUUUAUAAAUGAAGUACACAUAAAUUAAAGGUUUAAGUUUUUCUAUACAAAAACUCCAUCAAGUGGUUUGGAAAGGAAAUAAUAGUGAAUAAAUAGAAUUAAUCUUUUAGGUCUUCAGCUCUGCCAUCUCCAGCUCCAGCGCUUGUCCUUUUCUCAAUAUCUUUUAAUAAUAUUCUUUCCAUUUCCACCAUCCUGUAAAUAUUUUUUUAUUCUUCAAGCUACAGCAUCUUGAACUUUUCCACAUUUUGGUCAAGUUACAAUCACAAGUCUCAAUGUAUUUCAUUGAGAGUUUUAAGUGAUAAACCAACUUAGUGCAUGGUUGCUAAAAAGCACAAUUUACAAAUAAAAAUCUGAGAAGUGUGGUGUACAUGCGCAUUUAACCUCCUUUUACUCUCAGACUCCUAAAUGAAGAGUGUAAGAUUUUUGAAAACAGGCGCCUUCUUUCAGCCAGCUGAGGAGCAAUGCACAGAAAGAAAACUCUGGUUGCUCCAUCAUUUCUCUGGCAUUUGAUUAAAACCUCAUUAAAAUUGUCACAAAAUAAUAAACCAUAAAAUACAAAAAGUCUUCCUCCCUAAAUUAAUCAUAUUGGUAAACUAAAGAGUUGAUAAACUAUUAAAGACACACAGGCUUCUUCCCCAACUGAUGUUCCAGUUUUAAUACAAGAAUAUCUAUGGUCAAAGUAAAGAAGCAUGUCUUUAAGUGCCUGCGAGUUUCACAGCACAAAGUCUUUAAACAAAGCUUGUUUUGUUUGGACCCAGCCUCAGAGGUCAUUGUGUUAAAAGUUGUAGGAGGACAGAGCUGCAGUUCACUGGAGCAAUGUUCAUCAGAAAAGAAAGAACCAGUGUCCUCCAGGCGUCCCUCUCUUCCAGCAAACCUCCUGGGGUUAGACGUUUACAAAGCACAACAAACAGUCCACUGGAAGCAACUUUUCCAGCCCAGUGGGCCCGGACACGGAGAGCUGGAGGGUUGGGGACGAAGGAAGGCACAGAUGAUUACACCUUGAAUAUGCGAGAAUAAAAGGUCAGGGACAGUGAGAACGUCAGAGAAAAGUGCGCAAACUGGAGUAGCCAAAAAAGAUCUCUGUGGAAUAAAGAGCAACUAAAACUUGAAAAAAGUGUAAAGAGUUCAUUAAGGAGAAGAAAAUGCUUGAGAUGCACCAGUCAGUUAGUCAGAGUGCAGAAUUACCACGUUCUUCUAAUUAGCUCUGUAUAAAUAUAAUACAUCACCUUAGUGACAAUAAAUACAUUAAUUAAUUAAUUCAUGAACCGGUAACAUAUCAAAAAUCAGUUUUGUUUUCUCUUAAAAAUGUCCAAUUUCCUACAAUUAACCUAAAUAACUGCCUCAAUAUGUACUGUGAUGUGAUGCACUUUUUGAGUUUAAUAAAAUUCAAAUAAGAGUUAAAGACAAAUGUUUUGAUGGCUCUGUGAGGAUAAACUUGUAAUUUUUUUCAUAUUCUGUUAAAGGUAUCUGCCUCUAUCAGUGCAACUCAAUAUUUUCUUUUAUACUUCACAGAAAACCAGAUAUCAGAAAAAAAACUAACCUAAGCUUCUCUGGAGAAUAUGUAAUGUUUGCAGAUAGCAAUGAGUAACUUAAUGGAAUGAAAACACGUGAAUUACCAACGUAUUUUAAUAUUGUAGGACUAAAAACCUAAAUGUUGACCAACCAGCUUUUCCUCCAAACUUACAAAUUUAUUGUCAUUAAAAACAUCCUUGAAAGCCACAAACUGCAGAUUGUCCAUAGGCAGACAUUUUUUUUAAAGAUACAUAAGAAAUCGUUAGUGAUUGGUUGGCUGCUGCAAUGCAUUAUUUUCAAAAUUUUGAUUGUUCUAGGCAAUGCAUCGUCAUCAUCAUCAGCAAUUCUCGUAAAAUGAAUUUUGCAGAAUGAACAUUUAACUCUCUGGGGGUCAUUCCUUUUUGUGCUCCACCUGUGCUUUUUAAAAAAAAAAUUCUAUAUAAGAUGCUAUUUUUUAAACUGGAAACCACUAUUCAGCAUGAUUGAAAAUAUUCUCACAAUUUCUGGCUUCUAGGGGGAUGUAGGCUGUCAUAUCAUACGCAUUGGUAGUGUUUUCAAUAAAUGUAUAAUGAACAGGAGUCAGAUAUUCACAGGGACAUUACUGACCUAAAAACUGAAAAAUUGAUGUUGGUAGGGCUUUAGGCAAGCUGAAAACAACAAAACAAGGGUAACAAAGUCUUUAGUUCACAAUUAAUACAAAAUGACUUUCAACGUAUAAGCAAAUAACCUCACAUCAGACUUACUCUAUAAGCUCCUAUUUGUGAGGCCAAGUUUUAGAGGUGAAAAAUCCUGACAGAUGAGCUGACUUUGAGCUGUCAUGAACCAUUUCCAUGAGAACACAAUGACGACGGCGUGUUGUCGAGGUAAUGGCCUUGUCUGAAAAUGCUGCCGUCCUAAUAUUUUUUAAAAGUCUAAAACAUCGGAGGACCUUCGGCUGUCUGGUGACGUUUUAUAAUGCAAAUUUUGUAGAUGAAAAGGCCAGGUUUUGAAUUGCUGGCCUUGGCCACAUUAAUUGAAUUAUAUCCU